AGUUGCGAACGGGUGAGUAAUGUCUGGGAAACUGCCUGAUGGAGGGGGAUAACUACUGGAAACGGUAGCUAAUACCGCAUACCAUCAGAUGUGCCCAGAUGGGAUUAGCUUGUUGGUGGGGUAACGGCUCACCAAGGCGACAAUCCCUAGCUGGUCUGAGAGGAUGACCAGCCACACUGGAACGGAGACACGGUCCAGACUCCUACGGGAGGGAGCAGUGGGGAAUGUUGCACAGUGGGCGCAAGCCUGAUACAGCGAGGCGGAGUGUAUGAAGAAGGCCUUCGGGUUGUAAAGUACUUUCAGCGGGGAGGCGUUACCCGCAGAAGAAGCACCGGCUAACUCCGUGCCAGCAGCCGCGGUAAUAC
rnacentral:rRNA from 1 species